AUGAGUUAUGGAGUAAAAUUUUUACAUUGAACCCAAAUAACGAUCCUUGGUUACUCUUGGGAGAUUUUAACAAUAUCCUAAACGCCAAAGAAAAUUUGGGAGGGAAUAGAACAAUAACUAAGUACAUGAUUGAUUUCAAUAAUUUUACAAUCAUCGUAAUCUUGUCUCUAUACCUGCUUCUGGAGUUCCUUUCAGUUGGACAAAUGGACAUAAGGAUAAAUCGGUAGUUUUUGAAAGGUUAUACCGUGCAUUUGCUAAUUUCGAGUGGCUAAAUAUGUUUGAACAUGUUCAUUUACACAAUUGCCAAUAUUUGGCUCGGACCUUAGUCCUACCAUACUUCAUUGUAAUAAUAUUGGCUAUAAAAGGAAGGACUCUUUCAAGUUUGAGGUAAUGUGGCUUAAUCACUCUGAAUUCAAUCAAUUUGUUAUAGACAAUUGGCAAUGUAAUAUCUCUAGACACCCAAAUGAUAUGUUUAGAGCGUACGCUGAAAGAUUUAAAUUCAAAGUGAAACGGUUAAACAAAGAUGUCUUUGGUAAUGUGCAAAAGCAAAUUAAACACCUCAUGACUUAAGCUUACAACAUAUCGUUUAUUCCACACUUUGUUAUAAAUCUACUCCAAAUAAAUUAUAUAUAUACUAAACGCCUAACUUUGUGGUUAAUUCCCUUUGUGUCCUUUUUACUGUUCAUUCAUCAAUGUUCUUCCGUUUUUGCCCCUUCUUUGUUUCUGUGAUCAUUGUUUAUUAUACAGUGUGAUUCCGUCUUUAGCCCUACUUUAAUCUUUGGUAUUUUACUUCAUUUUUGGAUUCUUCCUUCCCACACCGUUUCAGUCUCUCGACCUUCCUUGUCACUGGAUGCUUCCCACCGUUUCAGACUAUCGACCCACUUUUUCUCUGCCUGCCUCCUGCUCUCCCCAUCUCCCUCCUAGCCUCAUCUCCCAAUCACCCAACUUAUUUUCGGUUUAAACUUAAAUCUCAUAUGAAUCUCCUUGGUCUCAAAGGUCUUAUCUCCUCUGAACCCAGAAAAGCUUUAGCCUUCCGACAACACCGGCAGCCAUAAUCUAAGCGGUUCAGCAGCUAAUAGUAUGCCUAAUUUCGCAUUACAGUAUUGUUGGGUAGAAUUCAAAGGAACCCAGAUGGAGAGUUUUAAUUUUUAUUUGAAUUGCAUGUUAUCUAGAUGAAAAUUUGAAUUUGCGAGCUAGGGUUUUUCGAUUUUUUUAAUUUGGGAUUUCAAUUUUAUUGCUUUUUCGCAUAUAUGAUAAUGGUUAUGGUUUUUCUAGCGAAUUCUGAUUAUUUACGAUCUGGGUUUAAUGAUUUUAGAUGGGGAUCAAGUAUAAUAUGUGUGUAGAGGUUCUUCUUUUAAUUGCUAUGUGUGUAACAGCUUUGUUCAGUUAGCUAUCUAAUUGUUGAUUAUCAGUUAGGGUUUUGAGGAUCCAAAUAUCAAUUCUUUGUACGUUUUAUUUGUCAAGAGUUUUUUUUUUUUUUUUAAUGAAAGAAUAAGAAUUUACUUUGUUUUGAUGCUUCAUGUGUUUAUUGCUUAGUUUGCAGUUAUUUUUUCUUUGGUUUUCAUCUACUGAUUGGUUUUAGGGAUCGGGGAUUGGGCUAGCACUCUCUCCAAAGUUUCAAGUUUCUAUUUGCACAAAGAACUUUCAGAUAGGGUAUAACUUCUUCAGGUGAUCAGUAUGAAUGGAUUUGAUAUGGGAAGGCACUAUGUUUCACUAAAAUUCAAGAUGAAGGUGAAGGCGAUAUCUGUAUCCAUCUACACAUGCAUUUUGGAAAGUUUGAUGAUUCGCCUAUAUUUCGCCAACUGAUACAAGGCUUGGAAGGAAGUGUAGAGUCGACUACCCAAAUGAAGAGACUAAGAAAUGAGUUUUCGCUCUCUUUUGCUUGGAAUGAUUUAACCCCUUGAACUUGAAUUGGAUCACUCUUUGGUCAAAUGCUUAUAACUAAGACUGCGACAGCUACUGCUCCACCAUCAUUUCUAAAACAUUAGGUAAAAAUCUCUCAUCUCUACAAAUCUUUUUAACAAUGAACCAAUGAUUGCACAAAAAAGUUUAGUACGAUCUUAUUUUUAUGUCUUUCGCUCAUUAUCUCAUUGAACAAAUCAAUUCCAGAAGCCAUUUUAAGUAUGCUAAAUACUUUAGAUUUGACAUUUUGUGUGUUGAAUAUCAAGAUAGAGAAACUUUUCUCUAAAACAUGAUCUGACCGUUUAUGCAUUCGUUUUUCUAAGUUAACAAUUCUGCAAAAUGAGGGUUUAUAUUCACCUUUUAAACAGUUUAAAUUUUUUUUCACUUUUUAAACACUUUAGACCAAAUUUGUUUAAGCAUAAUUCAAUUGAUUGGUUUGAAUACAAAUAAUUUGUAAAACUUGGAUUCAUGCAGUAUUUAAGGUUUAAGGCCAUAGCUCAAACCACGCAUAUGUUUUGUUAUCUCAUCGUUAUCAUACAUAGUUCAAAACACACAUAAUAUAAAAUUUGACAUAAACUUUAUGAUGAGUAGAUUUUAUAUUAUAUAUUUUACCCUAAUC